GGGUCAGUAGGUUGGUCGUGCCACCGGUACGUACUGGUCUCACUGAUUCCUCCUUCCUGAAGAACCGUAAUGCCAUUAAUUUGGUGUUGCGGGGAAGCAGGACUGUUACUUUGAAAAAAUUAGAGUGUUUAAAGCAAGCUAACGCUUGAAUACAUUAGCAUGGAAUAAUGAAAUAGGACGAUCGAUCCUAUUUUGUUGGUUUCUAGGAUUGACGUU
rnacentral:rRNA from 1 species